GGGUGAUUAGCUCAGUUGGUAGAGCGCUUCGUUUACACCGAAGAUGUCAGCGGUUCGAGCCCGUUAUCACCCA
rnacentral:tRNA from 1 species